GUCAUUUCUGUCUAGGAACUUUUAGACGGAAAUCUUAAAAGCAGAGUGGAAUGCUUGCUGUUGUCAUAGGAGUCCUAUUGCUAAGAAAGCUUUUAGGCAAGAUGGUCAAUUAUGAACUAAAACCCAUUAAACUCCAAAUAUUUAUGUGUUUAGACUGUGUUUCUGCUGCUUGUCAUGAUGAUACACUGGUACUGAAAGGAACGUGAAAAUGCGAAGGAAUUCUGCACACGGACCAAACUCCAGAAUCGUGGUCUUCCUUACAGCUACAGCGACCUGAUAGGCAGCUUUUAGUUAACCGGGAUUAACAGGCUGAGCAUGACUUAAGUGCGGAUGCCCUCCUGAAGCCUCCUUGGUCAGCUCCUGCCGUCAGUCACACAGAGUGCUAUGGAAGAGUGCCACCAGCACUUUUCAGGGGAAGUACAGCUGAUCUGAUGAAGAUUCUGCUGCAUCAAAAAUAAAGGUAUUUUCUUGGUCUGGAGUUCAUUCCUAACUCCGUUUGUUUGCUCCUGUUUUAUGUGCCACAGCUUUUAUGCCUUUAUAGCGAUAGAAACUAAACAUUUUAAAGUUAUUAGAUGCUAUCUAUGGAGAUAUGACCUGGCAUAUAGUUUAAAACUUACAAGAAAGUUGAACAUGGAGUAUAAGGAGUUCCCAGGUACCCUUCAUCCAGAUUUUUCAAUUGUAACAUUUUAACACAUUUUGCUAAUUUUUGUUCUUUUUUGCAUAUGUAUGUAAAUAAUUUUCUGAGCCAUUUCAGAGUAAGAACUACGAUGGCCUGUUAUCCUUUCAUGCUUCUGUAUUUCCUAAAAACCAAGGAAAUUCUGUUAUAUAAUCAUAGUACAAUUCUCAAAAUUAGGAAAAUUUCUAUGUAAUCCAAAGAUCUCAUUCAAGUUUUGCCAAGUGUCCCAAUAAUGUCCCUCCCAGUUCCAAUGUGACACACUGGUUGUCAUGUCUAGUUAGUCCCUCCUUCCUCGGGGACAGUUCCUCAGACCUGUUUUUCAGGGUCUUCAUAUUUUGAGCAGUACAGGAUGUAUUCAACUUUGGUUUGUUUAUUAUAAUUUACUUAAAUGAAAUCACUCAGUAAACAUUUUAUCAAAAACAUACUUCUAUGUCAAUACAUAAAGACUGUUGUUUUAAUGGGUGCAAGAUAUCCCAGUGUAUGAAAGGGCUAUAUUUAACCAAUCCCCUAUUAAGACAUUUAGUUUAUUUCUAAUUUUCCACAGUCUAAGCCACAGUGCGAUGAGUAGCUCUGAGCAAUUUUUCUGACGUGCAACUGCUGUGUUAAAGUGUGCAAAUAUAAAAUUUUGAUGCCAUUGCCACACUGCCAUCCUGAAAGAUUAUGCUUAUUAUAUAUAGUUCCACAAGUGGUACAUGAGAAUGCCUAGUCUCAUGUCAAUGUCAGCACUGGACAUUUUCAUUUUAAUGCUGGCCCAUCAAGUGCCCCCCAUUUAUUUGAGUAUUAACAUGUCCGAAUGCUAUACUUCAUGCUUAUUUUGCCUGUUUCAAUUUCUUUUAUGAACUACCUUUGACCAUACUUCUUUUGAGCAGUUCUAUUUUGAACUGCUUUGUCAACUCAUUCCUUGGCGUUUAAAUCUAAGACUUCAAGGAAAGACACAUUAUACAUUCAUUUUAGGGCUGUAUAUCCUCUGUUGAAAUGAUUCUCAUUUCUCACAUAGGAUCUAGUUUCCUGAGAAAACGUAUUGAGGAUUAGCUACAACAAGGUAACUGUAGGCCAACCCAGCCCCACGUAGCUCUUUGGACCGUUGCUUCAGUAGGAGGUGGGUAAAGGGUGAAAAAGCAAGAAGGGCAGAGAACAUUUAAGAGCCCCCAGGCCGUACUUCUCUUCAUUCAAUGUGUCUCGUUAAACAUUUCAGUACAUUCUGGAUCAAGACAGAGCAGUUCCUCACCAACUUAGUCUACGGUUCUUAUUUUAGUCCUUUCUCCAAAAAUAUUUUAAGUGGGUGAAUAGACAUAAUCUGAAGAUAGGUCUUACUUACUCAGCUUUAAAUACUAUUAAAAGCCAUCAUUUGCCUUACUGUAGGUUGGCAAGGGAAAUCUGAAGCUGGGAAAGAGGACUUCAGCUACUGUAGGCUUCUUCCUUUCUUCUUGAAUGCAAAACUUAGAGAAACAGGAGCAAGGAAUCUGCAUAUGUCUUAUGUGUGCUUAUGUCUGGUGCAAAUCUCAACGGAUUCAUGUGUCCAUGAGGAGCUGUGCAGUGUUUAUUCUAUGUGGAGAGAAGAGUCCUAUGUCAGAAAAUCAGAAACAAACUCAAUUCUCAAAUUUUUUAAUCAAUCAAAUCCAUCAGUCAGCCCAUUAAGCCGAUCAUCACUAAAAGCCAAGUAUAAUGGUGCUCUGGCAGAUAUAAGACAAAUAUAACAUGAUCUUGAAGAACAUACAAUCUAGUAGGGGCAUAAGACAGACAAACCUGAAACACCAAGGGGCCAUCCCUGAGAAUGCUAAGCAGAGUGCAUAUGAAAAGUGGGGCAGCAUUUCAGAGAAGGGCAAAAUCACGGCUCAUGUAAAGGGGAGUCUAGGGUGUCAGGGUAGUUAGAAAGGCUCUAUGAAUAAGUGGGGUUUGAGCUGGGCCUGGAUGGAUGGUAGGAGGUGUAAAGGUAGAGGGAAGGCAGUGGAUACUGGGGCCCAGGGAACAGAAGGCACAGAGGUGGCAGUUGGCAAGGUGCUAAGGGAUGGAAGCCUGAGAAGAAAAAGUACAAGUGGAGGAGUGCUGAGGGCUGGAAGCUGCUCCAGCACACUCUGUGGCAGCAGGAAUUCUCAGGGUCUCAGAGCAGGGAGUACCCUGAGGAGCUGGGUAGUGUAAUGCUCUUGCUCAGGCCAAGGUGUCCUGGAGUCUGAGGCAAGAGUAAAACCCAGCAGGAGUUCCCUGGUGACUCAGCAGGUUAAGGGUCCAGCAUUGUCACUCCUGUGGCUCAGGUUGCUGCUAUAGCACAAGUUUGAUCACUGGUCUGAGAAUUUCUACAUGUCACCAGUGCGGCCAAAAACAAACAAAACAGAGUUAAAUCCAGUAUUUUGAUAUUUUGUUCAUCAUGAUUUUUUUGAAUUACUUCUGAUUUUUAAAGAUAUUGCAUUAAAAUAUCAUUUAUUUUGAUUACUGUGAUUUUUAGCAUGCCCUUUAGUGUUGUGCCCAAGGCUGGUACCUUACCUGCCUCAUCCUAGUCCCAGCCCUGUGUUCUAUUUCUAAGGUUUGAUGGUGGGGACAUGAGUAUUUAGUUUAUUAUUAUUAAUUAUACCUUACUCAUGCUACAAAUAUUCUUUGGCUAGUAGAUGGUAUUUAAUAAAAACAAUCAAUAUAAAGAAAUUAGAAUUUUAAGGAGAUUAAUUUGGAAUCUUGGAGGCCCCCAAACACAACAGGGCAAAGAAUCAUUUGUGCUCCCAGGUCAAUCUCUAGGGUAGAGUAACUCCCCAUUGCUGCAGUGUAUGCAGUGCAAGCAGAAAAGGGUUGUUUUGGAGUUCCUUUUGUGGCUCAGCUGAAACAAAUCCAACUAGGAAACAUGAGGUUGCGGGUUUGAUCCCUGGCCUCGCUCAGUGGGUUAAGGAUCUGGUGUUGCCAAGAGCUGUGGUGUAGGUUGCAGAUGCGGCUGGGAUCCCGAGUUGCUGUGGCUGUGGUAUAGACCAGCGGCUACAGCUCUGAUUUAACCCCUAGCUUGGGAACCUCCAUAUGCCGCUGGUAUGGCCC